rnacentral:rRNA from 1 species
UACAGAGGAGCCAAGCGUUGUCCGGAUUGACUGGGCGUAAAGCGCACGCAGGCGGACGCGCGCGUGGGGUGUGAAAUCUGGCCGCUUAACGGCCAGGCGCCAUCCCAUACGGCGCGUCUGGAGCAAUGCAGAGGUCGGUGGAAUUGCCGGUGUAGUGGUGAAAUGCGUAGAGAUCGGCAGGAACACCCAGGGGGAAACCAGCCGACUGGGCAUCUACUGACGCUGAGGUGCGAGAGCGUGGGGAGCGAGCCGG